UACGAAGGGGGCUAGCGUUGCUCGGAAUCACUGGGCGUAAAGGGUGCGUAGGCGGGGCUUUAAGUCAGGGGUGAAAUCCUGGAGCUCAACUCCAGAACUGCCUUUGAUACUGAGGAUCUUGAGUUCGGGAGAGGUGAGUGGAACUGCGAGUGUAGAGGUGAAAUUCGUAGAUAUUCGGAGGAACACCAGUGGCGAAGGCGGCUCACUGGUCCAUUACUGACGCUGAGGUGCGAAAGCGUGGGGAGCAAACAGG
rnacentral:rRNA from 1 species